UACGAAGGGGGCUAGCGUUGUUCGGAAUUACUGGGCGUAAAGCGCGUGUAGGCGGGUCUUUAAGUCAGGGGUGAAAUGCCAAGGCUCAACCUUGGAACUGCCUUUGAUACUGGAGACCUUGAGUCCGGGAGAGGUGAGUGGAAUUGCGAGUGUAGAGGUGAAAUUCGUAGAUAUUCGCAAGAACACCAGUGGCGAAGGCGGCUCACUGGCCCAUUACUGACGCUGAGGCACGAAAGCGUGGGGAGCAAACAGG
rnacentral:rRNA from 1 species